rnacentral:rRNA from 1 species
UACGGAGGAUGCGAGCGUUAUCCGGAUUUAUUGGGUUUAAAGGGAGCGUAGGCGGCCUGGCAAGUCUGGUGUGAAAUACCGGGGCCCAACCCCGGGACUGCAUUGGAAACUGCCAGGCUGGAGUGUCGGAGGGGCAGGCGGAAUUCCUAGUGUAGCGGUGAAAUGCGUAGAUAUUAGGAGGAACACCGGUGGCGAAGGCGGCCUGCUGGACGACAACUGACGCUGAGGCUCGAAAGCGUGGGGAGCAAACAGG